rnacentral:rRNA from 1 species
UACGUAGGGUGCGAGCGUUGUCCGGAAUUAUUGGGCGUAAAGAGCUCGUAGGCGGUGUGUCGCGUCGGCCGUGAAAACCUGGGGCUUAACUCUGGGCGUGCGGUCGAUACGGGCAUCACUGGAGUUCGGCAGGGGGAGACUGGAAUUCCUGGUGUAGCGGUGAAAUGCGCAGAUAUCAGGAGGAACACCGGUGGCGAAGGCGGGGUCUCUGGGCCGAUACUGACGCUGAGGAGCGAAAGCAUGGGUAGCGAACAGG